AAUAUUGGACAAUGGGCGCAAGCCUGAUCCAGCAAUACCGCGUGUGUGAAGAAGGCCYUAGGGUUGUAAAGCACUUUCAAUUGGGAGGAAAACCUGCCGGUCAAUACCCGGUAGCUUGACAUUACCUUUAGAAGAAGCACCGGCUAACUCC
rnacentral:rRNA from 1 species